rnacentral:tRNA from 1 species
UCCCGGUUAGCUCAAUUGGUCAGAGCGUCGGACUUUUAGCCUACUAGCCAGCUUUGGGCUUCGCUAAAGGUAUCCGAAGGCUGCGAGUUCGACCCUCGCAUCGGGAG